UGGUUCCCGACAGAGCCUGUGAUUGCUGAUGCUGAUAAGAAAUAAGUUCAACACCCACAUUCAUACAGUCCCAAAUAAGGAAUAGAAAAAUGUGGGAUCCCUCUCAAAAGGACUGUGAAGAUGUCUUUUGCUGAUGAGAAAAAAAAUCAUGUACAUAUGAAAUAAAAAUAUAUAUUAAAAUAUAAUUUUUUUUCCUUUUUCAUAAUUUAAUGCUUGGCCUCACAAUUAUGAAAAAGCACAUAUAUUUAUUAUAUGAACAUUUACAUCAGUAGCUGCCUGCAUGUAUUGAUUCUUGUCUGUGUAUCGCCUCACAUACUCGUCCCUGACUGAGUCCAGUGAUGUAACUCGGAUCAAGUCCUAUCCGGACCAACAGGAGUGUUUGUUCAAUUCAAUUCAAUAUUAGCCUUUCA